GAUGAACGCUGGCGGCGUGCCUAAUACAUGCAAGUCGAGCGAACAGACGAGGAGCUUGCUCCUCUGACGUUAGCGGCGGACGGGUGAGUAACACGUGGAUAACCUACCUAUAAGACUGGGAUAACUUCGGGAAACCGGAGCUAAUACCGGAUAAUAUAUUGAACCGCAUGGUUCAAUAGUGAAAGACGGUUUUGCUGUCACUUAUAGAUGGAUCCGCGCCGCAUUAGCUAGUUGGUAAGGUAACGGCUUACCAAGGCAACGAUGCGUAGCCGACCUGAGAGGGGGGACGGCCACCCAGGAACUGAGACACGUCCCAGACCCCUACGGGAGGAAGCAGGGGGGAAUCUUCCGCAAGGGGCGAAAGCCUGACGGAGCAACGCCGCGUGAGUGAUGAAGGUUUUCGGAUGGUAAACCUCUUUUAUUAGGGAAAAAAAAAUGUGUAAGUAACGAUGCCCUUUUGGACGGUACCUAAGCAGAAAGCCCGGGCUAACUACGU
rnacentral:rRNA from 1 species